rnacentral:rRNA from 1 species
GCUGGCGGCGUGCUUAACACAUGCAAGUCGAACGGAAAGGCCCUGCUUUUGUGGGGUGCUCGAGUGGCGAACGGGUGAGUAACACGUGAGUAACCUGCCCUUGACUUUGGGAUAACUUCAGGAAACUGGGGCUAAUACCGGAUAGGAGCUCCUGCUGCAUGGUGGGGGUUGGAAAGUUUCGGCGGUUGGGGAUGGACUCGCGGCUUAUCAGCUUGUUGGUGGGGUAGUGGCUUACCAAGGCUUUGACGGGUAGCCGGCCUGAGAGGGUGACCGGCCACAUUGGGACUGAGAUACGGCCCAGACUCCUACGGGAGGCAGCAGUGGGGAAUAUUACACAAUGGGCGGAAGCCUGAUGCAGCAACGCCGCGUGCGGGAUGACGGCCUUCGGGUUGUAAACCGCUUUCGCCUGUGACGAAGCGUGAGUGACGGUAAUGGGUAAAGAAGCACCGGCUAACUACGUGCCAGCAGCCGCGGUGAUACGUAGGGUGCGAGCGUUGUCCGGAUUUAUUGGGCGUAAAGGGCUCGUAGGUGGUUGAUCGCGUCGGAAGUGUAAUCUUGGGGCUUAACCCUGAGCGUGCUUUCGAUACGGGUUGACUUGAGGAAGGUAGGGGAGAAUGGAAUUCCUGGUGGAGCGGUGGAAUGCGCAGAUAUCAGGAGGAACACCAGUGGCGAAGGCGGUUCUCUGGGCCUUUCCUGACGCUGAGGAGCGAAAGCGUGGGGAGCGAACAGGCUUAGAUACCCUGGUAGUCCACGCUGUAAACGGUGGGUACUAGGUGUGGGGUCCAUUCCACGGGUUCCGUGCCGUAGCUAACGCUUUAAGUACCCCGCCUGGGGAGUACGGCCGCAAGGCUAAAACUCAAAGGAAUUGACGGGGCCCCGCACAAGCGGCGGAGCAUGCGGAUUAAUUCGAUGCAACGCGUAGAACCUUACCUGAGUUUGACAUGGAUCGGGAGUGCUCAGAGAUGGGUGUGCCUCUUUUGGGGUCGGUUCACAGGUGGUGCAUGGCUGUCGUCAGCUCGUGUCGUGAGAUGUUGGGUUAAGUCCCGCAACGAGCGCAACCCUUGUUCACUGUUGCCAGCACGUUAUGGUGGGGACUCAGUGGAGACCGCCGGGGUCAACUCGGAGGAAGGUGGGGAUGACGUCAAGUCAUCAUGCCCCUUAUGUCCAGGGCUUCACGCAUGCUACAAUGGCUGGUACAGAGAGUGGCGAGCCUGUGAGGGUGAGCGAAUCUCGGAAAGCCGGUCUCAGUUCGGAUUGGGGUCUGCAACUCGACCUCAUGAAGUCGGAGUCGCUAGUAAUCGCAGAUCAGCAACGCUGCGGUGAAUACGUUCCCGGGGCUUGUACACACCGCCCGUCAAGUCAUGAAAGUUGGUAACACCCGAAGCCGGUGGCCUAACCGUUGUGGGGGAGCCGUCGAAGGUGGGACUGGUGAUUAGGAC